rnacentral:lncRNA from 1 species
AUGUGGUUCUCAAGAUGAAUACUAAGAUAGUACGCAACUUAAGAAGGAACUCAUAGUUUUCCUUGAAUAAUAUUGCCUUGAAUUAAUUGUCAAAGUCAUAUGUUAACUGCUCAUUUUUCCGCGUUGGGAGAGUUGUGAUAGUAACAGGCUACAAGACUUAACUAGAAGGUAUUGAUCAAAGGCAAUUGGCAUGUAAUUGCCACCAUUGACUUGCUCAGCCCUUUAGCAAUUGACCUCUUAUUGUUAAGGAAGAAAAGGACGUGAGUGCUUA